GACGAACGCUGGCGGCGUGCUUAACACAUGCAAGUCGAACGGAAAGGCCCCCACCUUGGUGGGGGUGCUCGAGUGGCGAACGGGGGAGUAACACGUGGGUGAUCUGCCCUGUACUUCGGGAUAAGCUUGGGAAACUGGGUCUAAUACCGGAUAGGACCAUGGUUUAGUGUCUCAUGGUGGAAAGAUUAUUGUUUUGGUGCAGGAUGAGCUCGCGGCCUAUCAGCUUGUUGGUGGGGUAAUGGCCUACCAAGGCGUCGACGGGUAGCCGGCCUGAGAGGGUGGACGGCCACAUUGGGACUGAGAUACGGCCCAGACUCCUACGGGAGGCAGCAGUGGGGAAUAUUGCACAAUGGGCGCAAGCCUGAUGCAGCGACGCCGCGUGGGGGAUGACGGCCUUCGGGUUGUAAACUCCUUUCGUUAGGGACGAAGCCGCACCUGNUUUGGGUGUGGUGACGGUACCUUUGUUAAGAAGCACCGGCUAACUACGUGCCAGCAGCCGCGGUAAUACGUAGGNUGCGAGCGUUGUCGGAAUUACUGGGCGUAAGAGCUCGUNAGUGGUUUGUUGCGUCGUCUGUGAAUUCCGGGGCUUAACUUCGGGGUGGCAGGCGAUACGGGCAUAACUAGAGUGCUGUAGGGGAGACUGGAAUUCCUGGUGUAGCGGUGGAAUGCGCAGAUAUCAGGAGGAACACCGAUGGCGAAGGCAGGUCUCUGGGCAGUAACUGACGCUGAGGAGCGAAAGCAUGGGGAGCGAACAGGAUUAGAUACCCUGGUAGUCCAUGCUGUAAACGGUGGGCGUUAGGUGUGGGGACCGGUUUGGUUUCUGUGCCGUAGCUAACGCAUUAAGCGCCCCGCCUGGGGAGUACGGCCGCAAGGCUAAAACUCAAAGGAAUUGACGGGGGCCCGCACAAGCGGCGGAGCAUGUGGAUUAAUUCGAUGCAACGCGAAGAACCUUACCUGGGUUUGACAUGCACCAGACGGUUGUAGAGAUACGUACCUCCCUUUGUGGUUGGUGUGCAGGUGGUGCAUGGUUGUCGUCAGCUCGUGUCGUGAGAUGUUGGGUUAAGUCCCGCAACGAGCGCAACCCUUGUCUUAUGUUGCCAGCACUUUGGGUGGGGACUCAUGAGAGACUGCCGGGGUUAACUCGGAGGAAGGUGGGGAUGACGUCAAAUCAUCAUGCCCUUUAUGCCCAGGGCUUCACACAUGCUACAAUGGUUAGUACAACGCGCUGCGAGCCUGUGAGGGUGAGCGAAUCGCUGAAAGCUAAUCUCAGUUCGGAUUGGGGUCUGCAACUCGACCCCAUGAAGUCGGAGUCGCUAGUAAUCGCAGAUCAGCAAUGCUGCGGUGAAUACGUUCCCGGGCCU
rnacentral:rRNA from 1 species